rnacentral:misc_RNA from 1 species
UACGGAGGAAGCAAGCGUUAUCCGGAAUUAUUGGGCGUAAAGAGAUGCGUAGGCGGUCUCUUAAGCUAGUGAUGAAAUCGUAAGGCUCAACCUUACGCCUGUUACUAGAACUGAGAGACUUGAGAGCGAGAGGGGUAGCUGGAAUUCCCGGUGUAGGAGUGAAAUCCGUAGAUAUCGGGAGGAACACCAAUGGCGAAGGCAGGCUACUGGCUCGUUUCUGACGCUCAGGCUCGAAAGCGUGGGUAGCGAACCGG